UUUUGAUUGAAAUACAAAACA
rnacentral:piRNA from 1 species